UACGGGGGGGGCAAGCGUUGUUCGGAAUUACUGGGCGUAAAGGGCUCGUAGGUGGCCAACUAAGUCAGACGUGAAAUCCCUCGGCUUAACCGGGGAACUGCGUCUGAUACUGGAUGGCUUGAGUUCGGGAGAGGGAUGCGGAAUUCCAGGUGUAGCGGUGAAAUGCGCAGAUAUCAGGAGGAACACCGGUGGCGAAGGCGGUUCUCUGGGCAUUACCUGACGCUGAGGAGCGAAAGUGUGGGGAGCGAACAGG
rnacentral:rRNA from 1 species